CAGUAGCCACGGGAAUACGUAGGUGGCAAGCGUUGUCCGGAAUUAUUGGGCGUAAAGGGCUCGCAGGCGGUUUCUUAAGUCUGAUGUGAAAGCCCCCGGCUCAACCGGGGAGGGUCAUUGGAAACUGGGAAACUUGAGUGCAGAAGAGGAGAGUGGAAUUCCACGUGUAGCGGUGAAAUGCGUAGAGAUGUGGAGGAACACCAGUGGCGAAGGCGACUCUCUGGUCUGUAACUGACGCUGAGGAGCGAAAGUGUGGGGAGCAAACAGGAUUAGAUACCCCUGUAGUCCCUGUCUCUUAUAA
rnacentral:rRNA from 1 species